UACAGAGGUCUCAAGCGUUGUUCGGAUUCAUUGGGCGUAAAGGGUGCGUAGGUGGCGCCAUAAGUCAGGUGUGAAAACUCGAGGCUCAACCUCGAAACUGCACUUGAUACUGUGGUGCUCGAGUACUGGAGAGGAGAUUGGAAUUUACGGUGUAGCAGUGAAAUGCGUAGAUAUCGUAAGGAAGACCAGUGGCGAAGGCGAAUCUCUGGACAGUUACUGACACUGAGGCACGAAGGCCAGGGGAGCAAACGGG
rnacentral:rRNA from 1 species